GUGAAUACGUUCCCGGGCCUUGUACACACCGCCCGUCACACCAUGAGAGUUUGUAACACCCAAAGUCGGUGGGGUAACCUUUUAGGAACCAGCCGCCUAAGGUGGGACAGAUGAUUAGGGUGAAGUCGUAACAAGGUAGCCGUAGGAGAACCUGCGGCUGGAUCACCUCCUUUCUAAGGAA
rnacentral:rRNA from 1 species